rnacentral:rRNA from 1 species
AUGGGAGAAGCUGCAGCUGUUGUCGCCGCCUCGCGCGACGGCUUCUUCGGCCUGGGCGAGUGCAAGGGCCAGGUGGUGAUCGACGGCGAGCAGGUGCCACUGGUGCUGACGCCGGGCAGCGACGAGGUGAGCGGCCACGACCACAAGGCGCUGGUGGCGGCCCUGGUGUCCAACCGGGAGUGGGUGGAGGAGAAGGUGGUCGCCAACAGCGGCGUGCUGCUCCGCGGCUUCGGCGUGCGCGACGCCGUGGAGUUCGACGCCAUCGUGGAUGCGCUCGGGUGGCCGGACAUCCGGUACGUCGGCCCCGCCCCGCGCACCCACGUCCACGGCCGCAUCUGGACCGCCAACGAGGGCCCCCUCGAGGAGUUCAUCUACUACCACCACGAGAUGGUCCUCAUCAAGGAGUUCCCGGGUAAGGUGAUCCUGUUCUGCGAGGUGCCGCCGCCGGAGGGCGGGGAGACGCCGUUCGUGCCGAGCUUCCGGGUGACGGAGCGCGCGCUGCAGGAGUUCCCGGACAUGGUGGAGGAGCUGGACGCCAAGGGGCUCCGCUACACCUUCACCGCGCUGAGCAAGGACGACACCAAGUCCAUGCGGGGGCGAGGGUGGGAGGACGCCUUCGCCACCACCGACAAGGCCGUGGCGGAGCAGAGAGCCCGUGCGCUGGGGAUGGACGUGGAGUGGCUGCCGGAGGAAGGCGGCGUGAGGACCAUCCUCGGGCCGAGGAAGCUGACGCAGGUGUUCCCGGGCCGGAAGGGCCGCCGGAUGUGGUUCAACACGGUGGUGGGGAUGCACGGCAAGGAGCUGAGCUCCGCCACGUUCGCCGACGGCUCCGAGAUACCGGCGGACUUCGUGCGGCGGUGCGGCGAGAUCAUCGAGGAGGAGAGCAUCCAGUUCCGGUGGGAGAAGGGCGAUGUGCUCAUCCUCGACAACCUCGCGACGCUCCACGGCCGCCGGCCAUCGCUGGCGCCGAGGAGGGUCCUCGUCGCCACAUGCAAGUGA